rnacentral:tRNA from 1 species
GAGAAGUUAGUUAAUAAUAAUAUAGUUUUGUCAAGACUAAGUAACAAGACACCCCUUGUACCUCUCU